UCGGAUGUGGUGUAAGUGCAACACUGUGGCUCUGAAUUAGAAGCCUUUUCAAAAGUAACUGAAAGCCGCUAAUCCAGGUUCGAUUCCUGGCAUCCGAA